GAUUAUCGCUGGCGGUAUGCCUAAUACAUGCAAGUCGAACGAACUUUUUAAAGUUUUAGAUUUUAGACGUUAGAAUUUAGUGGUUUUUUUACUAACUUCCGACAUCUACAUUCUAAAAUUUUUAAAUUGUUAGUGGCGGACGGGUGAGUAACACGUUGGAACCUGCCCCAAAGUAAGGGAUAAGCCACCGAAAGGUGGUCUAAUACCUUAUAAUAUCCAAUUUAUUUGGAUUAAAGCUUUAUGUGCUUUGGGAGGGGCCUGCGUUUGAUUAGCUAGUUGGUAAGGUAAGAGCUUACCAAGGCUACGAUCAGUAACUGGUUUGAGAGGACGACCAGUCACACUGGGACUGAGAUACGGCCCAGACUCCUACGGGAGGCAGCAGUAAGGAAUCUUCCACAAUGGGGGCAACCCUGAUGGAGCAAUACCGCGUGUAGGAUGAAGCGUUUUGGCGUGUAAACUACUUUUAUCACCGAAGAUUAUGACUAUAGGUGAAGAAUAAGGACCGGCUAACUACGUG
rnacentral:rRNA from 1 species